ensembl:lncRNA
CCAGGGGGUAUUUUUGUGGAACUUCAGAGCGAACGUGGCUGACACUUGUUCUUUGUUGCCCUUGGGCUACCGGUUUGAUCACUGACUGAAUGGAUUUAUCCAUGUCAGCAGAAGGAAUUUCUCACUCUUGUCGUGCUGAACCCGACACGGAGCAGCGCCAUGGAGCGGGGCGGGCAGCCGGACAGCGCGGAGCAUCGCGAGCAGUUGGUAACGUUUGGCAGCUUAACAGAGAAAAAAAUGACUGCUAGGGAAAUCUCAACCGCCGCUAAUUAGCAGCAAUGAACUGUGGCUGUAGAUGUCUACUUUGUUCCAAAGCCCCUUUUGUCCCUGGCCAUGGGGCUGUCCUGGAGCACCAUGGAUGUCCCCACACUGGCAGCAGGGCCUGAGCAGCCAUGGGAGGAUGCGCUGCUGGACAGACAUGGGCAGCACCAGCGGUGCAAGUGCAAAGGAUGAAACUGCCCUGGAGAGAGAAUGGGCUCAGCACAUGACAACGCAGAUGUGGCUGUGCUCGGGAUUACCAUGCCUGGACGUGGGAGCAAGAAACCUGAACUUGCUGUGGGUUGAAAAAGUCUGAAAUUACAUUCUUGGUGAUGUAAGAGAUCUUCCGAUCCCUGGGAUUUUUCACUGAUGUCAUUACGGACACAAGUACCAUCUGUUUCCUACACGUAGGUACCUGAGAUUCCUGCACCUUGUAAACCGGAGCUGGGUGACCAUUGGCUCUUGGAAUCUCAAGAUGUACACCCAAAAUCUUUCGUCUUUUCUUAACUUUUUCUUCCCAGUAAGAAGCAGCUGCCUCUACAAAGACUGAGGUUUCAGGGAUGCUCAAAGAUGACACCUCAUGGGAGCGGAGACGAUGCUGUCGCCCUGCAACUCCCUCUAGGACCCCAUGGUAGUAAUUAAUAAGAAGCCAAGUUCUCAACUAGCUGUGACAAAUUGGAAAGCUGUGAAUUUGGAGAUAAGAGCGGAGGGUCACAGUUUAUUUGUAACUGGGUUAUCUAAUCGUAAUAAGC